rnacentral:rRNA from 1 species
UGAGGAAUAUUGGUCAAUGGGCGAGAGCCUGAACCAGCCAAAUCGCGUGAAGGAUGAAGGUAUUAUGUAUUGUAAACUUCUUUUGUCAGGGAAUAAAGUGCAGCACGUGUGCUGUUUUGUAUGUACCUGAAGAAUAAGGAUCGGCUAACUCCGUGCCAGCAGCCGCGGUAAUACGGAGGAUCCAAGCGUUAUCCGGAUUUAUUGGGUUUAAAGGGUGCGUAGGCGGACCUUUAAGUCAGCGGUGAAAUCUCCCGGCUCAACCGGGGAAUUGCCGUUGAAACUAUUGGUCUUGAGUGUAGAUGAGGUGGGCGGAAUUCGUAGUGUAGCGGUGAAAUGCUUAGAUAUUACGAAGAACUCCGAUUGCGUAGGCAGCUCACUAGGCUACAACUGACGCUGAGGCACGAAGGUGCGGGGAUCAAACAGG